rnacentral:rRNA from 1 species
AAUUCGAUGCAACGCGUAGAACCUUACCUGGGUUUGACAUGGAUCGGGAGUGCUCAGAGAUGGGUGUGCCUCUUUUGGGGUCGGUUCACAGGUGGUGCAUGGCUGUCGUCAGCUCGUGUCGUGAGAUGUUGGGUUAAGUCCCGCAACGAGCGCAACCCUUGUUCACUGUUGCCAGCACGUUAUGGUGGGGACUCAGUGGAGACCGCCGGGGUCAACUCGGAGGAAGGUGGGGAUGACGUCAAGUCAUCAUGCCCCUUAUGUCCAGGGCUUCACGCAUGCUACAAUGGCUGGUACAGAGAGUGGCGAGCCUGUGAGGGUGAGCGAAUCUCGGAAAGCCGGUCUCAGUUCGGAUUGGGGUCUGCAACUCGACCUCAUGAAGUCGGAGUCGCUAGUAAUCGCAGAUCAGCAACGCUGCGGUGAAUACGUUCCCGGGGCUUGUACACACCGCCCGUCAAGUCAUGAAAGUUGGUAACACCCGAAGCCGGUGGCCUAACCGUUGUGGGGGAGCCGUCGAAGGUGGGACUGGUGAUUAGGACUAAGUCGUAACAAGGUAGCA